rnacentral:rRNA from 1 species
UACGUAGGGCGCAAGCGUUGUCCGGAAUUAUUGGGCGUAAAGAGCUUGUAGGCGGUUUGUCGCGUCUGCUGUGAAAUCUCAAGGCUCAACCUUGAGCUUGCAGUGGGUACGGGCAGACUAGAGUGUGGUAGGGGAGACUGGAAUUCCUGGUGUAGCGGUGAAAUGCGCAGAUAUCAGGAAGAACACCCGUGGCGAAGGCGGCUUUCUGGGACGGUACUGACGA